AUUGAACGCUGGCGGCAUGCCUUACACAUGCAAGUCGAACGGCAGCACGGGUGCUUGCACCUGGGGGCGAGUGGCGAACGGGUGAGUAAUACAUCGGAACGUAGCUUAUCGUGGGGGAUAACGCAGCGAAAGCUGUGCUAAUACCGCAUACGCCCUGAGGGGGAAAGCGGGGGAUCGAAAGAACUCGAGCGAUUAGAGCGGCCGAUGCCUGAUUAGCUUGUUGGUGGGGUAAAAGCCCACCAAGGCGACGAUCAGUAGCUGGUCUGAGAGGACGAUCAGCCACACUGGGACUGAGACACGGCCCAGACUCCUACGGGAGGCAGCAGUGGGGAAUUUUGGACAAUGGGGGCAACCCUGAUCCAGCAAUGCCGCGUGAGUGAAGAAGGCCUUCGGGUUGUAAAGCUCUUUUGUCAGGGAAGAAACACCGGCUCUAACACAGUCCGGGAAUGACGGUACCUGAAGAAUAAGCACCGGCUAACUACGUGCCAGCCGCCGCCGUAA
rnacentral:rRNA from 1 species